CAAACAUAGCAAAUGAUCGCUUCAUUUUUUUGAAGAGGAAAGUCCGAGCUGCAAUAGGACAAAGAUUCCAUCUAAUGGAUGGCUAGGGUGACCUAAGGGAAAGUGCAACAGAAAGAAAACUACCAUAUUUUAUAUGGAAAAGGUGAAACGGUAGAGUAAGAGCCUACCAGUAGCUUUGGUAACAAAGCUAGCUAUGUAAACCCAAUCUGCAGCAAGAAGGGGUGGUUUUUGUCUUAUAAUAUAACCCUUCGCUUGAGUUUGUUUGCAAAAACAAAAUUAGAUAAAUGAUCAUUCAAGACAAAACUCGGCUUAUAGCUAUGUUUUACUU
rnacentral:RNase_P_RNA from 1 species